rnacentral:rRNA from 1 species
AGAGUUUGAUCCUGGCUCAGAAUAAACGCUGGCGGCGUGCCUAACACAUGCAAGUCGAGCGAGAAAGGUCUUCGGACUGAGUAAAGCGGCGGACGGGUGAGUAACGCGUGGGAAUCUGCCCUUCAGUGAGGAAUACCUCCGAGAAAUCGGGGUUAAUACUGCAUACGUUCCGAAAGGAGAAAGGUGGCCUCUUUGCUACCGCCUUGGGAUAGGCUUGCGUCUGAUUAGCUAGUUGGUGUGGUAACGGCACACCAAGGCUACGAUCAGUAACUGGUCUGAGAGGAUGAUCAGUCACACUGGAACUGAGACACGGUCCAGACUCCUACGGGAGGCAGCAGUGAGGAAUAUCGGGCAAUGCUCGAAAGAGUGACCCAGCAACGCCGCGUGGAGGAUGAAGGUAUUCUAUAUCGUAAACUCCUGUGAGAGCAGACGAAAGACAGAUUAUUAAUCUGGAUGACUGUAUGCUCAGAGGAAGCCCCGGCUAACUACGUG